rnacentral:tRNA from 1 species
UCUCUGUUCGUAUAGUGGUUAGUAUGUGAGCUUGUCAUUCCAUACAUCGCUCGAGACCGGGGUUCAAUUCCCCGACAGAGAG